GACGUAGGGGGCCAGCGUUGCUCGGAAUUACUGGGCGUAAAGCGCACGUAGGCGGUCUUUUAAGUCGGGGGUGAAAUCCUGGAGCUCAACUCCAGAACUGCCUUCGAUACUGGAAGACUCGAGUCCGGGAGAGGUGAGUGGAACUGCGAGUGUAGAGGUGAAAUUCGUAGAUAUUCGCAAGAACACCAGUGGCGAAGGCGGCUCACUGGCCCGGUACUGACGCUGAGGUGCGAAAGCGUGGGGAGCAAACAGG
rnacentral:rRNA from 1 species